rnacentral:lncRNA from 1 species
UAAAAUUUGAGUAUAGAACUUUUAAAUUCAAGAUCGAGAAUGUUAACCUUAAUCUAAAUAGUUUAAAAUAUUUUUUAUCAAAAUUUGAAGAAAUUUAGAUUCUUCUACACCGUUAAACUCCAAACUCGCUAUAGUAGCCGUUGAAAAUUGACAAUUUUGUAAUUGUUUGAUCAUAAAGUAAACUAUGUCGAAAAAAUAUAAAAUUUUAUUUCUAAAAACUUUAAAUAUCCUAGAUCAGUUUUAACGGUGUGGAUCGUUGAUUUGAACACCCGAAGAUCGAAAACAGG